UUUGUGCAGAGUUAUUUUCCGUCAAUGACUAAGAUCGUUGGUACUCUCGUAUAGAAAUCGAGGUCUGUGGAAGUUAUUUUGCGGCGUCUCAUGGCCGGAAUUUCUGGUAAUUUUACAAAAACAAGGAUUUUCUCCCACAUCCAAAACUCUAAACUGUCAGAUCCUUCGUCAAGCCUCAUCUCUUGGUUGUUCGAUUCCGGUUUGCAUAUACAUGUAGUUAAGUGAACGGUGAACCGAUGUUGAAAAGAGUGAAUUCUCAGAAGAUGAAGUACAUGGUAACUACCUUAUUAGUGGGAUGGUGAGAAGAAUAAGCAUUGAAGUUCGAUUGAGUAAUGGUGUUGAUAAUCUUAACCAAGGAGUUGAAAGUGGAAGUGAUGAUUUUCGGGAGGUGGGAGACGAGAAUGAUUCGUCAUAACAUGAGAUUGGUCCUCGUAACACCAUUGGGAAUGUUCUUUUAAAUGAGGAAAUUUAGUCAUCGCAAAAGAGGUAUGUUAUCCCUUUUAUUUGGUUAUAUGAGGAGCUGGAUGUCCAUAAAAUAGAGAUUGCAGGAGAGCUAAUUAUCAAGUAACAAUAUUUUGAACAAAGGAAACAACAACAAGAGCAUAAUACAAGUGGGUCAGAGCUAUAUACAAUUGAUAAAAAGGUUUCAUACAUGGAGUGUCAUGAAAAUAAUAGACCCAUUUAUGUUUAUGUGCUAAGCCUGCUAAAGUUAA
rnacentral:lncRNA from 1 species